rnacentral:lncRNA from 1 species
UUUGAUGAUUAUGGUUUUUCAUGGAUUCUACCUUUAUUCUGUUUUUUUUAUUUCUAUCCCUACCUUUCUGUCAUUGCCACAUAAACCUUAAUUUUAUCGAAGUAUUGUCUUAAUUGUUUUUUUUCUUUUAGUAUCUAGGGUUAUGAUUUUAUACAUAAGACGUUUUUUUGAUAUUAAAUUCUUUUGUUGACGUUAGAAUGGUUAGGUUUUACCCGAUAAGAUAAGAACCUCCUUACCGAGAAGGGCUUUUCUUGAACCAUAGACAGACCAACAAUUAGAAAUAUAAUAAACUGUAGCAUAUAUCAGACAGUAAAACAAUGCAGCUUACCUUAGGUAGGGCAUAUUUGGGGUGCUAAUAUCUUUCAUUUACACAACCAGUCCCCGUACUCGAUAUCUGAGACCAGUUAAGAUUUCUAGUGACCAAAAUACUAGAUGGCGACUCUCAUUUCAUUUUUCACUGAUAAAAGACAAGAAUUCCUUGUCUCCCCACAUUUGUUAGAUAGAUACACGUUACUUGAGAGUGGACGAUAUCACCGCGACGCCGCACACGUACGACAGAUAUAAUUACAGAUUAUCUUGAUGAUAAUGUAAUCUUACCAUUGUUAGAAGCAUUGACCCUUGAUUAUAGCUAUGCAAUUAAUUAUAAGAGAUCAUUUCUACUCUUAUAAAGAUUAUAAUUAAUUAUACAUGUAAUUUUGCAACUAUAAAUAGAAUAUCUCACCUAUAUUAAAGGUGUGGUGGUUUGUAAAACACUCAGCUUAUUUAUUUUUUCUUGAUUUCUCAACUAGGCUAGUCAACUCCAGAUCCAAGACCUAUCUUGAAUCGAACAAGAAAAAAUUUAGAUUUUUUAUUUAAAAUAAUAUCAUUUCAAGCUUAAAAAAUUGACAUAAUCAACCUACUAGGAAGACAACCUUAGUCUUAGAAGGGUUUUAUUACUAUGAACAAGAUAUUCAUUCGACUGCUAAAUGAGAUCCCAUGAUUUUAGAUGUUAAACUAGCAAGAUAAAUUUUAAAUCUUAUAUGCUAAGUUGCUCAUUAUAAUGAUUUAGUUGAUAAGUGAUUAUACUCUCCUUUCUAGUUAGAAUUCCUCUUCUCUUUUCUUUUUUUUGUCAAAUAGAUUGAUUUUUAUUAUUUUAUUUACUUAUUUGGAGAAUAAAAUAAGUUCGACUUCAAUACCAAAUCAAUACAAAAUCAUUAGAAUCAUGAUGUAGUUUCUUAUGAAUUACUUUGCAAGAUGGUAUAGACGGCAUGCAACUUGGAAACUAAAUAAAAAAAAAAUGAUACACAUGGAAUAAUUUAUAACAUUUUAUUAGUUAUUUUUUUAUUUAUUUUUUAAAAAGAAUUAGAUAAAUAUACUGGGAAAAAAUUAAAUUAAAGAUCCAAAUAAAAUAAUAUUUUUAUUAGAUUUUGUUGUGUCUACUUAUAAAUAAAUUCAAGGAAUAACUAAGUUUUUUUAGAUUAAUGUGGAUGUCUGGAUCAACUUGCGUAUAUCUCGAUUAAUCUUAUAGGCCCUGAAGUUAAUGACCAUGUAAGUCUCCAGUGGUCCUAAGAUUUGUAAGACUCAAAUUGAUAAAUUAUAAAAAUAAAUUUAAAACCUGAUUAAUUGAGAUACACCUCUUAAAAUUAAAAUAACUAAUUUUUGUAAUACAAUAGAAGCACCUGAAAUCAUAAAAUAUCCAUAUUUGUUGGCGCAUGAUUGAAGUCCUUGUGGACCCUCUACAUGGGCUGAAAAACUGAAUUUAAAAAGUGGACGGUAGUGAUUUAGAAAAUUCUCAAAUGGCACACAAAGAAAUGUCGUCAUACCAUAAAGCAAAAUCUACCAUGCAAUUUCUCAAUAUUUUUUAAUUUACAAACUAGUCCCUCAAGUACCUAUAAAAUUGUAAGGAGUCCUAAGAAUCUAUCUCUCUCGACUUCGUUGGAGAGCUUUGCUUUAAUGGAAUAAGAACCAAAUUCCUCUUCUCUGGUACGCUUAUUCUCACUUUCUUUAGCUUUAUUAGUCUCCUUUUUAGGGUUACUCUUAUCCUUUUUGAGGAAAUGCCACCUAGUGUUUAGGGUUUCAAUUUUCUUUUGAUGAUUAUGGUUUUUCAUGGAUUCUACCUUUAUUCUGUUUUUUUAUUUCUAUCCCUACCUUUCUGUCAUUGCCACAUAAACCUUAAUUUUAUCGAAGUAUUGUCUUAAUUUCUCUGUUUUAGUUUCAUGUCAUUUUAACGUGUUCUCUUUGUUGUUUUUUUUUAAUGAUUGUUUGAAUUGUUGUGUCUUUUGCUUUGAAUUGUUAUCCGGAUCGUGAUUGAGUUAGUAGAAUACUUUAGCAUUUUGUGUUUGGGUUUUGGAUGAUUUGCUUACUUAAAAUUCCUCAUUUGCAGCUU